CAGUCGCCGCGGUAAUACGUAGGGUGCAGGCGUUAAUCGGAAUUACUGGGCGUAAAGCGUGCGCAGGCGGUUUGUUAAGACAGAUGUGAAAUCCCCGGGCUCAACCUGGGAACUGCAUUUGUGACUGGCAAGCUAGAGUGUGGCAGAGGGGGGUGGAAUUCCGCGUGUAGCAGUGAAAUGCGUAGAUAUGCGGAGGAACACCGAUGGCGAAGGCAGCCCCCUGGGCCAACACUGGCGCUCAUGCACGAAAGCGUGGGGAGCAAACAGGAUUAGAUACCCCAGUAGUCCCUGUCUCUUAUAC
rnacentral:rRNA from 1 species